rnacentral:rRNA from 1 species
CCUACGGGAGGCAGCAGUGAGGAAUAUUGGUCAAUGGGCGGAAGCCUGAACCAGCCAAGUAGCGUGCAGGAUGACGGCCCUACGGGUUGUAAACUGCUUUUAUACGGGAAUAACGCGCCUUACGUGUAGGGCUUUGCAUGUACCGUCUGAAUAAGGACCGGCUAAUUCCGUGCCAGCAGUCGGGGUAAUACGGCAGGUCCGGGCGUUUGCCGGAUUUUUUGGGGUGAAAGGGAGCUUAGGCCGCAUGUCCAGCGUGCUGUGAAAUUUCCGGGCUCAACCCGGGCCUUGCAGCGCGAACUGGCGUGCUUGAGUCCGCGGAAAGCAGGCGGAAUUCGUCGUGUAGCGGUGAAGUGCUUAGAUAUGACGAAGAACCCCGAUUGCGAAGGCAGCUUGCUGCAGCGGAACUGACGCUGAUGCUCGAAAGCGCGGGUAGCGAACAGGAUUAGAUACCCUAGUAGUC